rnacentral:lncRNA from 1 species
CUGUACAUUCCUAAACACUGACUAACACAAUAUGGAUAAUCAUGCUGUUGCAAUUCAUCCACACGUUUCUCAAGCCCGCUUGUUUUUUCUCAGCUAGAGCGUGCCUUGGUGAAUCCUGUCGCUGAACCAAUUUCUCUCCCUUGGUCACGACCAUGCUAAGCUUUUCCUUUGUAUUUGCAAGGCCCUAUUAUUUUUCUGCUCAAGUUCCACCUUCACUCUUCCAAGUUAUGCAUUUGCUGCUCAAGCAAAUCAUUUGGAAAAAAAGCAGCCACAGCAAGAACACCAUAGCAGCAGCAACAUGGCCAUGCCAACAAGCAACAGCUUAAAACGGGAAAAUCGUAUGGAAAACAGGAAAAGAAACACCAGCAAGAAAGAACUAACUACAAAGUUCGUCGUCAUACCAGCAAUAUGACCAUGCCACAGCUUAAAAAGGGGAAAAUCGUGUGGAAAAUAGGAAAAGAAACACCAGCAAGAAAGAACUAACUACAAAGUUCGUAGUCAUACUAGCAAUAUGGACAGCUCACAGCUUAAAAAGGGAAAAUCGUGUGGACAACAGGAAAAGAAACACCAGCAAGAAAGAACUAACUACAAAGUUCGUAGUCAUACUAGCAAUAUGGACAGCUCACAGCUUAAAAGGGGAAAAUCGUGUGGACAACAGGAAAAGAAACACCAGCAAGAAAGAACUAACUACAACGUGCGUAGUCAUACCAGCAAUUGACAAUCCAAAGCCAAAUCAAAUUAGCCAAUAGAAAGACCAGUCACUUCCCUAAGCAAACCUGGAUGUCAAAAAGCAACAAAAAUUAUUGUCCCCAUUAACAUGAAUUUCAAGCUCAAAGCUUCAUAAACAUGAUGAGCAAACAAUUAUUGGAACCCCAUUAAAUGCGAGUUCUUGACGGUAAAAACCACAGCUACAUGGCAUUCAAAAUCAGUCCCACAGUCAACCAUAGAAUUUAUAUUUCCUUCAACAAUGAUAGAUAAAUGUUUUUUUUUUUUUUUUAAAAAAAAAAAGGCAGAUUCCUUACAGAACGAAAGAAAAAUCACUGAUUCGAACAAAUUAGGAAAAUAAUUAGAGGGAAAGGAGAGAACUUGUGACGAAACGACUUCUUCGACUUCGGAGAGAUCGAGGUCUUCUCUCAUGAUUUUUUCACACUAGUCUCGGUGCGUCUCAUAUCUGCCUACGAAAUAAGCAUCAACACCAGUCGUCCAUCCUCAUCGACGCUAGAUCCGGUCCCUCGCUCUUUUCAUCCUUGUCUUCUUCGACACGGCAUCCCCCUUUUCCUCUGGUCUUGUCCACUCCUGGGGGAAUUUUGAUUUUUAUGGAGAAAAUAGUUAGUUGGAAGACGACAUAUAUCAUGUAUUCAUC